rnacentral:rRNA from 1 species
UCCGGUAACAUUACUGGUGGGGCUACACCCGUUCCCAUUCCGAAUACGGAAGUUAAGCCCGCCGAGGUCGAUGGUACUAUGGUCUCACGGCCAUGGGAGAGUAGAACGUUACCGGUU